rnacentral:rRNA from 1 species
AACGAACGCUGGCGGCAUGCCUAACACAUGCAAGUCGAACGAUUGCCUUCGGGUGAUAGUGGCGCACGGGUGCGUAACGCGUGGGAAUCUGCCCUUAGGUUCGGAAUAACAGCUGGAAACGGCUGCUAAUACCGGAUGAUAUCGCGAGAUCAAAGAUUUAUCGCCUGAGGAUGAGCCCGCGUUGGAUUAGGUAGUUGGUGGGGUAAAGGCCUACCAAGCCGACGAUCCAUAGCUGGUCUGAGAGGAUGAUCAGCCACUGGGACUGAGACACGGCCCAGACUCCUACGGGAGGCAGCAGUGGGGAAUAUUGGACAAUGGGCGCAAGCCUGAUCCAGCAAUGCCGCGUGAGUGAUGAAGUCCCUAGGGUUGUAAAGCUCUUUUACCCGGGAAGAUAAUGACUGUACCGGGAGAAUAAGCCCCGGCUAACUCCGUG